rnacentral:rRNA from 1 species
GGGUUGUGAGGUUAAGCGACUAAGCGUACACGGUGGAUGCCCUGGCAGUCAGAGGCGAUGAAGGACGUGCUAAUCUGCGAUAAGCGUCGGUAAGGUGAUAUGAACCGUUAUAACCGGCGAUUUCCGAAUGGGGAAACCCAGUGUGAUUCGUCACACUAUCAUUAACUGAAUCCAUAGGUUAAUGAGGCGAACCGGGGGAACUGAAACAUCUAAGUACCCCGAGGAAAAGAAAUCAACCGAGAUUCCCCCAGUAGCGGCGAGCGAACGGGGAGCAGCCCAGAGCCUGAAUCAGUGUGUGUGUUAGUGGAAGCGUCUGGAAAGGCGCGCGAUACAGGGUGACAGCCCCGUACACAAAAAUGCACAUGCUGUGAGCUCGAUGAGUAGGGCGGGACACGUGGUAUCCUGUCUGAAUAUGGGGGGGACCAUCCUCCAAGGCUAAAUACUCCUGACUGACCGAUAGUGAACCAGUACCGUGAGGGAAAGGCGAAAAGAACCCCGGCGAGGGGAGUGAAAAAGAACCUGAAACCGUGUACGUACAAGCAGUGGGAGCACAGAGCAAUCUGUGUGACUGCGUACCUUUUGUAUAAUGGGUCAGCGACUUAUAUUCUGUAGCAAGGUUAACCGAAUAGGGGAGCCGAAGGGAAACCGAGUCUUAACUGGGCGUUAAGUUGCAGGGUAUAGACCCGAAACCCGGUGAUCUAGCCAUGGGCAGGUUGAAGGUUGGGUAACACUAACUGGAGGACCGAACCGACUAAUGUUGAAAAAUUAGCGGAUGACUUGUGGCUGGGGGUGAAAGGCCAAUCAAACCGGGAGAUAGCUGGUUCUCCCCGAAAGCUAUUUAGGUAGCGCCUCGUGAAUUCAUCUCCGGGGGUAGAGCACUGUUUCGGCAAGGGGGUCAUCCCGACUUACCAACCCGAUGCAAACUGCGAAUACCGGAGAAUGUUAUCACGGGAGACACACGGCGGGUGCUAACGUCCGUCGUGAAGAGGGAAACAACCCAGACCGCCAGCUAAGGUCCCAAAGUCAUGGUUAAGUGGGAAACGAUGUGGGAAGGCCCAGACAGCCAGGAUGUUGGCUUAGAAGCAGCCAUCAUUUAAAGAAAGCGUAAUAGCUCACUGGUCGAGUCGGCCUGCGCGGAAGAUGUAACGGGGCUAAACCAUGCACCGAAGCUGCGGCAGCGACGCUGAUGCGUUGUUGGGUAGGGGAGCGUUCUGUAAGCCUGUGAAGGUGUGCUGUGAGGCAUGCUGGAGGUAUCAGAAGUGCGAAUGCUGACAUAAGUAACGAUAAAGCGGGUGAAAAGCCCGCUCGCCGGAAGACCAAGGGUUCCUGUCCAACGUUAAUCGGGGCAGGGUGAGUCGACCCCUAAGGCGAGGCCGAAAGGCGUAGUCGAUGGGAAACAGGUUAAUAUUCCUGUACUUGGUGUUACUGCGAAGGGGGGACGGAGAAGGCUAUGUUGGCCGGGCGACGGUUGUCCCGGUUUAAGCGUGUAGGCUGGUUUUCCAGGCAAAUCCGGAAAAUCAAGGCUGAGGCGUGAUGACGAGGCACUACGGUGCUGAAGCAACAAAUGCCCUGCUUCCAGGAAAAGCCUCUAAGCAUCAGGUAACAUCAAAUCGUACCCCAAACCGACACAGGUGGUCAGGUAGAGAAUACCAAGGCGCUUGAGAGAACUCGGGUGAAGGAACUAGGCAAAAUGGUGCCGUAACUUCGGGAGAAGGCACGCUGAUAUGUAGGUGAAGUCCCUCGCGGAUGGAGCUGAAAUCAGUCGAAGAUACCAGCUGGCUGCAACUGUUUAUUAAAAACACAGCACUGUGCAAACACGAAAGUGGACGUAUACGGUGUGACGCCUGCCCGGUGCCGGAAGGUUAAUUGAUGGGGUCAGCGCAAGCGAAGCUCUUGAUCGAAGCCCCGGUAAACGGCGGCCGUAACUAUAACGGUCCUAAGGUAGCGAAAUUCCUUGUCGGGUAAGUUCCGACCUGCACGAAUGGCGUAAUGAUGGCCAGGCUGUCUCCACCCGAGACUCAGUGAAAUUGAACUCGCUGUGAAGAUGCAGUGUACCCGCGGCAAGACGGAAAGACCCCGUGAACCUUUACUAUAGCUUGACACUGAACAUUGAGCCUUGAUGUGUAGGAUAGGUGGGAGGCUUUGAAGUGUGGACGCCAGUCUGCAUGGAGCCGGCCUUGAAAUACCACCCUUUAAUGUUUGAUGUUCUAACGUUGACCCGUGAUCCGGGUUGCGGACAGUGUCUGGUGGGUAGUUUGACUGGGGCGGUCUCCUCCUAAAGAGUAACGGAGGAGCACGAAGGUUGGCUAAUCCUGGUCGGACAUCAGGAGGUUAGUGCAAUGGCAUAAGCCAGCUUGACUGCGAGCGUGACGGCGCGAGCAGGUGCGAAAGCAGGUCAUAGUGAUCCGGUGGUUCUGAAUGGAAGGGCCAUCGCUCAACGGAUAAAAGGUACUCCGGGGAUAACAGGCUGAUACCGCCCAAGAGUUCAUAUCGACGGCGGUGUUUGGCACCUCGAUGUCGGCUCAUCACAUCCUGGGGCUGAAGUAGGUCCCAAGGGUAUGGCUGUUCGCCAUUUAAAGUGGUACGCGAGCUGGGUUUAGAACGUCGUGAGACAGUUCGGUCCCUAUCUGCCGUGGGCGCUGGAGAACUGAGGGGGGCUGCUCCUAGUACGAGAGGACCGGAGUGGACGCAUCACUGGUGUUCGGGUUGUCAUGCCAAUGGCACUGCCCGGUAGCUAAAUGCGGAAGAGAUAAGUGCUGAAAGCAUCUAAGCACGAAACUUGCCCCGAGAUGAGUUCUCCCUGACUCCUUGAGAGUCCUGAAGGAACGUUGAAGACGACGACGUUGAUAGGCCGGGUGUGUAAGCGCAGCGAUGCGUUGAGCUAACCGGUACUAAUGAACCGUGAGGCUUAACCUUACAACGCCGAAGGUGUUU